rnacentral:rRNA from 1 species
GGUAGUCCACGCCGUAAACGAUGUCGACUUGGAGGUUGUGCCCUUGAGGCGUGGCUUCCGGAGCUAACGCGUUAAGUCGACCGCCUGGGGAGUACGGCCGCAAGGUUAAAACUCAAAUGAAUUGACGGGGGCCCGCACAAGCGGUGGAGCAUGUGGUUUAAUUCGAUGCAACGCGAAGAACCUUACCUACUCUUGACAUCCAGAGAACUUAGCAGAGAUGCUUUGGUGCCUUCGGGAACUCUGAGACAGGUGCUGCAUGGCUGUCGUCAGCUCGUGUUGUGAAAUGUUGGGUUAAGUCCCGCAACGAGCGCAACCCUUAUCCUUUGUUGCCAGCGGUUAGGCCGGGAACUCAAAGGAGACCGCCAGUGAUAAACUGGAGGAAGGUGGGGAUGACGUCAAGUCAUCAUGGCCCUUACGAGUAGGGCUACACACGUGCUACAAUGGCGCAUACAAAGAGAAGCGACCUCGCGAGAGCAAGCGGACCUCAUAAAGUGCGUCGUAGUCCGGAUUGGAGUCUGCAACUCGACUCCAUGAAGUCGGAAUCGCUAGUAAUCGUAGAUCAGAAUGCUACGGUGAAUACGUUCCCGGGCCUUGUACACACCGCCCGUCACACCAUGGGAGUGGGUUGCAAAAGAAGUAGGUAGCUUAACCUUCGGGAGGGCGCUUACCACUUUGUGAUUCAUGACUGGGGUGAAGUCGUAACAAGGUAACCGUAGGGGAACCCUGC